rnacentral:rRNA from 1 species
AAUGAACGCUGGCGGCGCGCCUAAUACAUGCAAGUCGAGCGAGAAGACGUAGCAAUACGUUUGUAAAGCGGCGAACGGGUGAGGAAUACAUGGGUAACCUACCCUCGAGUGGGGAAGUAACUAGCCGAAAGGUUAGCUAAUACCGCGUACGCUCCUUGGACUUCGGUUCAGGGAGGAAAGCGAUACCGUGGGUAUCGCGUUCUUGGUUGGGCUCAUGUCCUAUCAGCUUGUUGGUGAGGAACGGCUCACCAAGGCUUCGACGGGUAGCUGGUCUGAGAGGACGAUCAGCCACACUGGCACUGCGACACGGGCCAGACUCCUACGGGAGGCAGCAGUAAGGAAUAUUGCGCAAUGGGCGAAAGCCUGACGCAGCGACGCCGCGUGGGGGA